UUUCUGUAAAUUACACUGUAUUUUACUGUAAUAUGAACUGUAUUUUACCGUAGGGCAUGUUAUACAGUAUGUUGCUGUAUUUUGAUGUUGCAUUGUGGGAAAUGUAAUCUUUGUGCCAGUAAAAUACUGUAUUUUCUGUUUACUGUAAAAUUUACAGUUAAUUAAAAAUACUGUAUUUUAAUGGCAGGUGGUGCUAAUUUGUUUUUUGGGGGAUUAACUCUCUGAUUAAGGCUUGGUGUCGUUGCAUAGUUAAGCCUAAAGGGGACUUUGAGUUAAUGUUGAGUGUCAAGCCUUACAAUCCAAUAUAGAAAGCUAUCUUAUACAAAUAAUGUAAUAUUAUUGUAUUUAAAUAUUGAUUUAAAAUGUAAAGUAAAAUUCAGAAGACUUAAACAAAGUCCUAAAAACAAUCAAACAACUAAAUUAGUGCAAGUAGAGCUGAUUUAUUUACCAAAACACAAUAUAAUCAUCUUCAUUAAAGCUUUGUAUAUUCCAAUUAAUUUACAAAUGUAAGUGUUUAAAAAUUAGAGAUAGGUUUUGCCGGUUGUUGAUGAGUGAUGAAUACCAGCUGUGAAUUUUCUCAACGCGUGUAAGCAGCCACGACACAGGAAACCGAAACAGUGUUCCAAUAUAAAGUGAGGGUCCUUGACAGUGGCCGAACCCGCAUACUACACGAUAUAAUGAUUCCCCACCUCGGGAGCUAUAGGGAACGAAUUGAGACACAGCCCUGGAUGUAAUCACGUCUGUGCUGAUGAUCACGUGCCUGUACACAAACCCGCAGCUCACUUGCAAAAGAUUAUCCGGUUAUUUAUUACACGUAAUGUAAACGUUUUUAAUGUUAUCAUGAAUCAAUGUUAUAGUUUUGUAUGUCACAUUAUUUUUUGAGAAGAGUCAUGACUGAACGCGGACCUUACACGCUGUUAUUUUUUUGUGUGCGUAUGGCCAAGGUACAGUGCGCUCUUUUGCACUAUGACCAGCCAUCAGUAAAUCGAAAUACAGUAAAAAAAAAUGAGCGCGAAACCCUGACACUUUACAGAAAGGCACGGAUAUCCCCGCCCGAAGAAAAAAAGAACACAGGACAAUGGUUGCAAGUUAAACAGCUGAACAUUUCACCAUCUGCAAAGAACAUUUCACCAUCAACAUAUUAACAUAAACGGUUCUCUUUUUCUUGUUUGACUGCGUUUGGUACAGGUCACAACAACGACGGCAGAUGUAGAGACCACGCUUUCCCUUGCUUCCACUCCACGGCUGAUCAUGCUUGAGGAUCCAGAUCUACAAAACAAAAAAUGGAUGCUGCCGAUUGAAGGCUAAGUCCGAUUUCCUGCGAUUGACCUACCAUUUCUUCAGCAUUUGCUGUUCACUUUGGUUGCUACUACGUGCUCAACAUCGAGUACCAUGUGCAAGCAGCCACUACUUUGGAGUUUAUUCAGAGAUUUAUUGUGAGGAUCAGCCCCGACAACAGCAAGUGCUCCUCUAACUUCCAGCGGAGUUUAUCGGAAGUUCAUGCGGACCGCGACAGCCGCUUGUUUAUGAUGUUACUGCUGAAACCGUCUAUUUAUAACUGAAUUUGUACUAGUAUUAUUUGAUAAUACUGUGAAAUGAAACAGUGAGUAAAUGUUACAUUGGCUUUGAAAAAGAUGUUGCUGCAAGAAAUUACAAUUUACUCAGAAUAAUAUUUUGAAUGUAUAAGUUUUUGACAUUGCUUAUGACUGCAUUUGAAUGUAUUGUUCAUGAAUUGAUGCUGUGAUAUGUGUGUGUAAAUGUUUUGUAUUUUACUCAGGAAAGUAUUUUGUAUUUGAACAUUGUUAUUAUGACUGAGUUAGUUCAUGACUUGAUUUAAAAUUCUGUAAUAUGAUAUCUAUGAGUAAAUGUUAUUGCAGGUUUAAGAAAAACAGUUUGUGAUGCAAGCUGAAAGUUCAGUGUGCAAAAAAUAUGAAAAUCUGAUUUCAUGUAUUUGAAAAACUAAAAGAAAUUUUAAAAA